rnacentral:rRNA from 1 species
CACGUAGGGGGCGAGCGUUGUCCGGAUUUAUUGGGCGUAAAGAGCUCGUAGGCGGUGUGUCGCGUCGGCCGUGAAAACCUGCAGCUUAACUGUGGGCUUGCGGUCGAUACGGGCAUCACUGGAGUUCGGCAGGGGAGACUGGAAUUCCUGGUGUAGCGGUGAAAUGCGCAGAUAUCAGGAGGAACACCGGUGGCGAAGGCGGGUCUCUGGGCCGGUACUGACGCUGAGACGCGAAAAGCGUGGGGGAGCAAACGGG